rnacentral:sRNA from 1 species
AAGAAGGUCUGCUGUUGUAAUCUCCAAUUCGAUAAUCCUCGUUCUGUAGUUUCUAAGUUUUAAUCUAUUUUUAUGCUAUUUACGCCUUUUAAGGCAAAAUUAUUUAUUAAAUUACAGGAUAUUAUUAUGUCUAAUACAACUACUGGUACAGUUAAAUGGUUCAACGAAACUAAAGGUUUCGGUUUCAUCGAGCAAGAGUCUGGCCCAGACGUUUUCGCUCACUUCAGCGCUAUCGCUGGUGACGGUUUCAAAACUUUAGCUGAAGGCCAGCGCGUUGAGUUCGUUGUAACUCAAGGCCAGAAAGGUCCUCAAGCUGAGAACAUCACAGCAAUCUAAUUCAAUUGGCG